rnacentral:lncRNA from 1 species
UUAGCGAUUUCAUCGGCUUGCUUUUAUGGUCUCUUAAGGAUGACUUGCCUCAUGCUAAACAGAAAUUGACGCCAUAAGAACUGAGUCAUCAAACUGUUUGCCCAUUGGAUCACUGUAAGAGAGAACAUCAAAGAAUAUUUAUAGUCAUAGAGUCCCCAGGUCCUUUCCAACAGAUACAAGCUAGUAUUUCCCACCUGGGAUAUUGGAAGAUGGGAACUUGCCAGCAGUCAGUGAAGAUCUCUGAGACAGCGAGAGCGAGCGAGCUUUGAGUAGACUGGGAACCACUGUCCACAGCAGGAAAUAAGAGAAAAGAUGUUUCCUUGGGCACUUGGGUGGAAAUCAUUCCUGACUGCUUUCUCAUCCACCGGGAAAAUCUGCUGAUUGACAAUUUGAAGCUGAUAGACUUUGGACUCUGUGCAAAGCCAAAGAAGCCUUUAUUAACAUGUAAGAUGGGUGCUGGUAAGAAAGAAUGGGAAGACUCCCUUACUGAUUCCAAGAGAAUUACUUAUCCUCAAAUGAUUUUUCCUGGCCAAAGUUAGAGCCUCUCACAGGUAAUCGAGACCAACAGGCUGUUGUUGCACAAUCAACAGGCACAAUCUAGAUGAUCAGCUGAGGAAAAUAAAGCAUCAUGCCAAGGGUACUAGAUAAGUGAG